rnacentral:rRNA from 1 species
GAUGAACGCUGGCGGCGUGCCUAACACAUGCAAGUCGAGCGGUAUAUAUUUAAAUGAAACUUCGGUCGAGUGAGAGUAUAGAGAGCGGCGGACGGGUGAGUAACGCGUAGGCAACCUGCCCCAUACAGAGGGAUAGCCUCGGGAAACCGGGAUUAAAACCUCAUAACGCGAGGGAGUCACAUGGCUUCAUCGCCAAAGAUUUAUCGGUAUGGGAUGGGCCUGCGUCUGAUUAGCUAGGUGGUGGGGUAACGGCUCACCAAGGCAACGAUCAGUAGCCGACAUGAGAGGGUAAUCGGCCACAUUGGAACUGGUACACGGUCCAAACUCCGACGCGAGGCAGCAGUUGGGAAUAUUGCACAAUGGGCGAAAGCCUGAUGCAGCAACGCCGCGUGAGCGAUGAAGGCCUUUGGGUCGUAAAGCUCUGUCCUUGGGGAAGAAUAAAUGACGGUACCCUUGGAGGAAGCCCCGGCUAACUACGUGCCAGCAGCCGCAGUAA